rnacentral:ncRNA from 2 species
CAAAGACCCACGGUAGAGCGCACGCAAGACGUGCCGCCGAAGGCGUAAUUAACCCAUAAUCGCUCAGGCAAACGAACCGUGUGUUUAUU